rnacentral:rRNA from 1 species
AGUGAACGCUGGCGGUAGGCCUAACACAUGCAAGUCGAACGGCAACACAGUAAGAGCUUUCUCUUACGGGUGGCGAGUGGCGGAUGGGUGAGGAAUACAUCGGAAUCUACUUUUUCGUGGGGGAUUACGUAAGGAAACUUAUGCUAAUACAUCAUAUGAUGUACGGGUGAAAUCAAUGGAGCUUCGGACCUUGCGCGACUGAAUGAGCCGAUGUCGGAUUAGAUAGUUGGGGGGGUAAAGGAACACCAAGGCGAGGAUCCGUAGCUGGUCUGAGAGGAUGAUCAGCCACACUGGAACUGAGACACGGUCCAGACUCCUACGGGAGGCAGCAGUAGGGAAUAUUCGGCAAUGGGCGCAAGCCUGAUCCAGCCAUACCGCGUGGGUGAAGAAGGCCUUCGGGUUGUAAAGCCCUUUUAUUAGGGAAGAAAAGCUGCGUGUUUAUCCCCCGCUGUUCUGACGGUACCCAAUGAAUAAGCACCGGCUAACUUCGUG